rnacentral:rRNA from 1 species
GACGAACGCUGGCGGCGUGCUUAACACAUGCAAGUCGAACGGUGAAGCGCCUUCCUUUUUGGUGGGUGUGGAUGAGUGGCGAACGGGUGAGUAACACGUGAGUAACCUGCCCCCUUCUUCUGGAUAACCGCAUGAAAGUGUGGCUAAUACGGGAUAUUCUGGGUCUGUCGCAUGAUGGGUCUGGGAAAGAUAUUGUUUCGGUGGGGGAUGGGCUCGCGGCCUAUCAGCUUGUUGGUGGGGUGAUGGCCUACCAAGGCGGUGACGGGUAGCCGGCCUGAGAGGGUGGACGGUCACACUGGGACUGCGACACGGCUCAGACUCCUACGGGAGGCAGCAGUGGGGAAUAUUGCACAAUGGGCGCAAGCCUGAUGCAGCGACGCCGCGUGAGGGAUGGAGGCCUUCGGGUUGUGAACCUCUUUCGCCAGUGAAGCAGGCCUGCCUCGUUUGUGGGUGGGUUGACGGUAGCUGGAGAAGAAGCGCCGGCUAACUACGUG